CGAAUGCUGACAUAAGUAACGAUAAAGCGGGUGAAAAGCCCGCUCGCCGGAAGACCAAGGGUUCCUGUCCAACGUUAAUCGGGGCAGGGUGAGUCGACCCCUAAGGCGAGGCCGAAAGGCGUAGUCGAUGGGAAACAGGUUAAUAUUCCUGUACUUGGUGUUACUGCGAAGGGGGGACGGAGAAGGCUAUGUUGGCCGGGCGACGGUUGUCCCGGUUUAAGCGUGUAGGCUGGUUUUCCAGGCAAAUCCGGAAAAUCAAGGCUGAGGCGUGAUGACGAGGCACUACGGUGCUGAAGCAACAAAUGCCCUGCUUCCAGGAAAAGCCUCUAAGCAUCAGGUAACAUCAAAUCGUACCCCAAACCGACACAGGUGGUCAGGUAGAGAAUACCAAGGCGCUUGAGAGAACUCGGGUGAAGGAACUAGGCAAAAUGGUGCCGUAACUUCGGGAGAAGGCACGCUGAUAUGUAGGUGAAGCGACUUGCUCGUGGAGCUGAAAUCAGUCGAAGAUACCAGCUGGCUGCAACUGUUUAUUAAAAACACAGCACUGUGCAAACACGAAAGUGGACGUAUACGGUGUGACGCCUGCCCGGUGCCGGAAGGUUAAUUGAUGGGGUUAGCGCAAGCGAAGCUCUUGAU
rnacentral:rRNA from 1 species